CCUGGACUUGAGCGGAGCGAGAAAGAGCGCGCCGCCUGCACGACUGGACUGGAGCGGCCGGGUGCCCUGGAGGCCCCUGGGAAUUGCAGUCCUUGCGCAGGUGGAGAGUGAGCCCUUGUAAGCGGGUGACUUCAUCAAGUUUGGGGGGUCUCUUGUGGAAUUGUACCUGAAGGGCGGUGCUGGCGGACAGAUGUCAGGGAAAUUCUGGCCUUGUCCAUGGCCUGUGGUAACACUUCUCCAUGAGUUCUAUUUUCCAAUUACCUCUUCCCAGACCUGAUGAGAGGGCCACAGCUAAGGAAGACGGUCCCUUCCACGAAAAAAUAUUCCCCAACCACUAGCCUGUACAAUUCCUGGGGCGUAGGGGGAGGGGAGGAGAAAAAAGAAUUCUAAGGUUAAUUUUAUUGCGAUGGGGGAAAUAGGGGUUGGUGUUUUUUUGUUGUUGUUAUUUUUUAUUUUAUUUAUUUAUUUGAGACGGAGUCUUGCUCUGUCGCCCAGGCUGGAGUGCAGUGGCGCGAUCUUGGCUCACUGCAAGCUCCGCCUCCCGGGUUCACGCCAUUCUCCUGCCUCAGCCUCCUGAGUAGCUGGGACUAGAGGCGCCCGCCACCACGCCCGGCUAAUUUUUUUUUUUUGGUAGGAGACACGGCGUUUCACCAUAUUAGCCAGGAUGGUCUCGAUCUCCUGACCUCGUGAUCCGCCCGUCUCGGCCUCCCAAAGUGCUGGGUUUACAGGCGCCCGGCCGAUUAUUUUUUAUUUUUUUUUUGAGACAUGGUGGCCAACAUGGUGAAACCCUGUCUCUAUUAAAAAUACAAAAAGGUUAGCUGGGCGUGGUGGCGGGCGCCUGUAGUCCCCACUACUCAGGAGGCAGGAGAAUCGUUUGAACCCGGGAGGCAGAGGUUGCAAUAAGCUGAGAUUGUGCCACUGCACUCUAGCCUGGGCGACAGAGUGAGACUCCGUCUCAAAAAAAAAAUUAAUUAAAAAUAAAUUUAUCUCACUAUCAAUUUUGCAGGAUAUUGAUUGAUCCAGUCUCUCAAUACUUUUAUAAAAUAGCUUAAUCCUAGUCUCUCCAAGAAAAAUUGUUGUUCAACUGUGUAGUACCAUAGUAACAGUUCUCAGAUUCUCAGAUUAUUAAAUUUGUUUCUCCAAGAUAUAGUAUCCUUGAAAAUGCGCAUUGACACCCCCAUGGCUGGGGGAUAUAUUAUCUUUUUUCCUUCAAAGUGCCAUUGAUAAUUACUGCACGUAGGAGCUAUGGAUAAAAAUAGUUAUCAUUUGUUGAAUGUCUACUACGUGUCUAGAACUAUGCCAGGAACUUAAUGAAAUUGUCUUAUUUAGUCUUCACAGUUGCUCCACAAGGGAUUGUAUUAAUGUCAUUAUCUUGAUUUUACAGAUGAGAAAACUCAAGACUCAGAAACAAUAAAGGUUACAGAGAUGAAAUUGACAGAGCCUGAAUUUCAGUAUGUCAAACUUCAAUGUGCCAUUAUACUUUUAAAUCCUACAGAACAGAUUGAAUCACAACUUCUACUUUUACAUGAGAGAAGACAAUGGGUCCUAUGACUUACUGUCAGUUUCCUUUUCCUGAUUUAAUUAGCUGCUUCUGUAUCUAAUUUUGCUAGGAAUGGAGGAAUAAGGCAAAUUCCCUAAACUACAUAUUGACAUUUAUACUAAUGUGAAAACCUCAAGUCCAUUUGCAGACUUUUGGAUUAGAUUCUGUCCCAGAAAGACAUCCACCCUAGAGUUCAGGAUAUCAUACCCAUUUUACUGUUCCCCUGGCACAAUUCAUAGUAAGGAAAAACAGACAAGGGGAAAGCUAUUAGAUUCUCGGUGCUGCUAAACAGGACACACAAGGACACCAUUUUGUGAUGAUGAUGGUGCUUUAUGCAGCUUCCACCAUUUACAAGAUUUUCCUGUGGUGUGGAACCUCUCAUGAUAAAGCAAAGGAACUAGAAGCUUAUUCCAGUCAAGAUUUCUGAUUUAUCUUGUGGGUUAUGAUUCUGUAUGGUUUCUUUGGUGCUGCAUUAGACCUGAGCUCUGAUUGAAAAUUCUUCCACGCUCGCUACAUUCCAAAACUUUAUCUCCAAUAUGAAUUUCCAGAUGCCUCACAAGGUCUGAGCUCCAUCUGAAGGCUUUCCCAUGCUUGUCACAUUCAUAGGGCUUUUCUCCACUAUGAAUUCUAUGAUGUCGAAUAAAGUGUGAGCUCU
rnacentral:lncRNA from 1 species